rnacentral:lncRNA from 1 species
GUUAUGUGCAUAUAAAAUGGCCAAAUUUGUAGACUUAGAUAGGGCUAUGCUUUAGCAUUAAUUUUAUGUAGAGGUAGGCAAUUAAGAGUCUAAUAGUAACUCAUAAAAUAAUUAAUUUUACCAUGUGAAUAGGCAGACAACCAAUAUAUCACUGUCUUUCAAUUUCUACAGUACUAGUAAAAUCUAAACACUGAAAGUAUUAAGAAAACCAUGGGCCAAAAAAUCUACCUCAGAUCAGUAUUUUCUCUAUUUCCUGUAGAAACCAUAACUACUCAAAAAACUAAACUAUGUAUAGUAGAAUAAAUCUAGAGAGUAUAAAAUAACAUUCAAAAAAAAAUUUAGAAGGCAACGUGGAAAAAGAUGGCUCAAAUUCAACAUUAAUUUACAUACUAAAAUUGUCACGCCCCGAAACCGCUACCACUUUGGCCGGUUCGGGCGCGUCGGACAGACGCCGAACGGACAGCACCUCCCCUGUCCGCCCACAGCUAAACAACGAGAUUGUGUAUACAAGUGCCCAGGAAAACAACUCGAUUACAUACACAAUCAAACAAUGGCGAGAGCACAACCAGUGCUAAUUAACUAAAGAGCAAGCAUCACAAGUAAUAAACAAGUGAAUAAAAGAGAGAUACUAAUUUAUUACAUCUAUUCAACUUUAAUACAUUUGAUUACCUUACAUUCUCCCCUCCUUAAAAGGAGUUUCGUCCUCAAAACUAACUCACUUCAAAUUCCACUCACAACUCAACUCAACUUAUUGAGUAAUCGAGGGUCCCAAUGCACCUUCCCACUCCGG